UACGUAGGGGGCAAGCGUUAUCCGGAAUCAUUGGGCGUAAAGCGCGUGUAGGCGGUUCAGGAAGUCCGCUCUGAAAGCCCAGGGCUCAACCCUGGGAGGCGGGUGGAUACUACUGAACUAGAGUACGGAAGAGGAGAUUGGAAUUCCUGGUGUAGCGGUGAAAUGCGCAGAUAUCAGGAGGAACACCAACAGCGAAGGCAGAGCUCUGGGACGUAACUGACGCUGAGACGCGAAAGCGUGGGGAGCAAACAGG
rnacentral:rRNA from 1 species